UACGGAGGGUGCAAGCGUUAUCCGGAUUCACUGGGUUUAAAGGGUGCGUAGGUGGGUUUGUAAGUCAGUGGUGAAAUCUCCAAGCUUAACUUGGAACUGCCGUUGAUACUAUAAAUCUUGAAUGUUGUGGAGGUGAGCGGAAUAUGUCAUGUAGCGGUGAAAUGCUUAGAUAUGACAUAGAACACCAAAUUGCGAAGGCAGCUCACUACACAAAGAUUACACUGAGGCACGAAAGCGUGGGGAUCAAACAGG
rnacentral:rRNA from 1 species